AGAGUUUGAUCCUGGCUCAGAUUGAACGCUGGCGGCAGGCCUAACACAUGCAAGUCGAGCGGCAGCACGGGUACUUGUACCUGGUGGCGAGCGGCGGACGGGUGAGUAAUGCCUAGGAAUCUGCCUGGUAGUGGGGGAUAACGCUCGGAAACGGACGCUAAUACCGCAUACGUCCUACGGGAGAAAGCAGGGGGACCUUCGGGCCUUGCGCUAUCAGAUGAGCCUAGGUCGGAUUAGCUAGUUGGUGAGUGUAAUGGCUCACCAAGGCGACGAUCCGUAACUGGUCUGAGAGGAUGAUCAGUCACACUGGAACUGAGACACGGUCCAGACUCCUACGGGAGGCAGCAGUGGGGAAUAUUGGACAAUGGGCGAAAGCCUGAUCCAGCCAUGCCGCGUGUGUGAAGAAGGUCUUCGGAUUGUAAAGCACUUUAAGUUGGGAGGAAGGGCAGUUACCUAAUACGUGAUUGUAUUUGACGUUACCGACAGAAUAAGCACCGGCUAACUCUGUGCCAGCAGCCGCGGUAAUACAGAGGGUGCAAGCGUUAAUCGGAAUUACUGGGCGUAAAGCGCGCGUAGGUGGUUUGUUAAGUUGAAUGUGAAAUCCCCCGGGCUCAACCUGGGAACUGCAUCCAAAACUGGCAAGCUAGAGUAUGGUAGAGGGUGGUGGAAUUUCCUGUGUAGCGGUGAAAUGCGUAGAUAUAGGAAGGAACACCAGUGGCGAAGGCGACACCUGGACUGAUACUGACACUGAGGUGCGAAAGCGUGGGGAGCAAACAGGAUUAGAUACCCUGGUAGUCCACAGCACGUAAACGAUGUCAACUAGCAAGUUGGGAGCCAUUGAGCUCUUAGUGGCGCAGCUAACAGCAUUAAGUUGACACAGCCUGGGGAGUACAGGCACAGCAAGGUUAAAAACUCAAAUGAAUUGACGGGGGCCACGCACAAGCGGUGGAGCAAUGUGGUUUAAUUCGAAGCAACGCGAAGAACACUUACCAGGCCUUGACAUCCAAUGAACUUUCCAGAGAUGGAUGGGUGCACUUCGGGAACAUUGAGACAGGUGCUGCAUGGCUGUCGUCAGCUCGUGUCGUGAGAUGUUGGGUUAAGUCCCGUAACGAGCGCAACCCUUGUCCUUAGUUACCAGCACGUUAUGGUGGGCACUCUAAGGAGACUGCCGGUGACAACCGGAGGAAGGUGGGGAUGACGUCAAGUCAUCAUUGGCCCUACGGCCUUGGGCAUACACACCGUGCUCAAUGGUCGGUACAGAGGGUUGCCAAGCCGCGAGGUGGAGCUAAUCUCACAAAACCGAUCGUAGUCCGGAUCGCAGUCUGCAACUCGACUGCGUGAAGUCGGAAUCGCUAGUAAUCGCGAAUCAGAAUGUCGCGGUGAAUACGUUCCCGGGCCUUGUACACACCGCCCGUCACACCAUGGGAGUGGGUUGCACCAGAAGUAGCUAGUCUAACCUUCGGGGGGACGGUUACCACGGUGUGAUUCAUGACUGGGGUGAAGUCGUAACAAGGUAGCCGUAGGGGAACCUGCGGCUGGAUCACCUCCUU
rnacentral:rRNA from 1 species